UACGUAGGAGGCAAGCGUUAUCCGGAGUGACUGGGCGUAAAGGGUGCGUAGGCGGUUUGGCAAGUUGGUAGCGUAAUCCCGGGGCUUAACUCCGGUGCUACUACCAAAACUGCUGGGCUUGAGUGCAGGAGAGGUGAAUGGAAUUCCUAGUGUAGCGGUGGAAUGCGUAGAUAUUAGGAAGAACACCAGCGGCGAAGGCGACUCACUGGACUGUAACUGACACUGAGGCACGAAAGCGUGGGGAGCAAACAGG
rnacentral:rRNA from 1 species